UUCAUAUCCACACCCCUCCGGUGACGCAAUCGUAAUUUUCAACGUUGGACAUUUUUUGCGAACUGUGUAGAUCUUGAAAACAGCCGACGCCUUUUAUCAUUGUAAAAACAACAUACUUGAACAAAAGCAGGUGAGAUGGCAGUGAGGCAAAGGAUCUUUAACUCGACCAGACCGUUCUCAGGGUCACCCCAAAUAGAGCUGAAGGGGUCUUACCCAAGCCUCCCCAGCCCAGAAGACAGGACGAGUGACGAGGAGGUGAAGGAGAGCAAAGGGGACUUCAUGCCUUGUUUAAAACCCAGAAUAAUUAAAGUCCUAACGAAGGGCACAGCAGAACAAGUGGGUGAAGCAGGUCCACUGAACUAUCAAAAGAACUCGUUCAUAGCCCAGGCUGAAUGUGAAACCCAAGACUCCCAGCAGUUCAGCCCUUCCUGCUCUGAACGCUCCUAUGUCGGGUCCCCCAACUGCUUAAUCAACCGGGACUCAUCAGAGCACAACAAUGUGGCGUGUUCCUCCGCAGCCUCCAACCAGGACCAACCAGGCUCCCCGGCCCACCGCUCACCCAGGAAGAAGCCAAGGAAGAAACAGAAGAGGAAGGAGAAGAAAGAGGAGCAGAGGGAGACAGGGAAGCAGAGACAGAGACGUAGAGUACCUUCUGGUGUCCCUGAGCAGGAGACCCAGACUGGCAGUUCUCCUCAACUGAUCCAGACCCAGCAGGACGCUUCAGAGCACCAAAGUAACAUCAGCACUUCAUACAGUAGCAGUAUCCCGAGUUUAGAGGCGCAUGACGCAAGACGCCCCCCUUACCCCCUCCAGGACUGCAACAGGGGCCCCAGCCAUUCCCACCUCUACUGGGGCCCCCAGGUGUUUAGCCCCCCCUCCAACCUCUCCACCUAUGGGCAGGAGAGUGACUCAGACUCUCCUCUCAGCAGUGUGGGAGACUGUUCGUUAGCCCUAGCAGGGCUCAGGGGCAGUGUCAGUCAGGAGGACCGAUGCUACGCAGGUCCCUUCUGCAAAGACUUCUGCAAAGACGUGGAAAGAGAUGUCAGGGAGAAGGAGGGAGAAGUCUCAGAGACUGACACCAACGAGGGCCUGAUCUUCAAUAAGAAUAUUCAGCCUGUGAAUUAUGAGUACAGGGAGGGGAAGGACUACAGCCUCUGCAAGUCUAUCAACACAGGGUCAUACGGGGAAGUGCACAGUGUGCAAGACAACAGAACACACUUCAGAUUUGGCGCCAAAAAGAUUCUCCUGAAGAGUUUUAGUAGUGAGGAAGUGGGUACGUGGAGUGCCCUGAAGUCUCCUCGCGUGGUGGAACUCUUCGGAGUGAUCAGAGAGGGGCCCUACGUCGUCCUCUUCAUGGACCUCAAAGCUGGCUCUGUGGGUCAGCUUAUUAAAGAGAGGGGUCGGCUACCUGAGGACCUGGCCCUGCACUACCACUGUCAGGUCCUUGAGGCGCUGGAACAUCUGCUGAAGAGACGAGUGCUGCAUCUGGACAUAAAGGCGGACAAUGUGUUGCUGUCAGAGGAUGGGAGGGACACUUUUCUGUGUGACUUUGGACAAUCUGAGAGAAUGGACAUCGGUGGACAGAGCCUAAGUGCAUCCCAAGGAGAUCUGAAGGGGACAGAGACACACAUGGCCCCGGAGAUUGUGAAAGGGGAAACCCGCGGAGCCAAAGCAGACGUGUGGAGCAGCUGCUGCAUGUUACUGCACAUGCUCAAUGGCUGCCAGCCCUGGACACGAUACUACUCCCGCCCACUGUACUUCAAGAUAGCCAAUGAACCACCGCCUCUGAGAGAGAUCCCGCCCGAUUGCAGUCCCUUCACUGCUGAUGUCAUAAAGGUGGGACUACAGAAGGAGCCCACCAAGAGGGCCUCCGCCUCGGAGCUCAAGGGAAGAGCAGCCAGAGCUCUGAGAGAAGUGGGAGGACUCAGCAGCCCCAUUAGAGGGUUCUAUAAGGAGCCCCUACAGAUAGAUGACAGCCCCAGCCAGUCUAGCCAGCCCUGGCCACCCUUUAGCAGAGACACCUGCUCUGAGGAGAGCCCUGAGCUAUGGCUGGAAUCCAUGAACCCAGGGAGCAGGGAGCUGAACAAUGAUGAGGAGGAGGAAGGCAGUGAGGCAGACACAGAGGAGACAGCCUCACCUCGCUCUCUACUGACACAACUCCAUGAAUGGCAAAAUCCCAAGAUGGCCGACGGCACCUCCAACGUAUCUGAGCUGGAACUGCGCAAGCUGGAGAGAGAGUUUUACCUGACCAGUCUGUCUCAGCUGCACUCAGCAGAAACCCAGGAGCAGCUACUGUCCUGCCUGAGCAGCAGUGACUGUUACUCCAACAGGGACUUAUGGGACAGAAAGGACUCUGGCCGUUGGUCCAUCAGCCCAGGUGACGACCUCAGCUCCGGUGUGUUCUCCUACAACAGCCAACCGGACGGACAGAUUCUCAGUAUGGACUGGCUGGUUCACCAAAGCCACCUGUCUCCACCCCGAUGCUUUGAGGGAGUUGACGUCUGCAUCACGGGCGUAAAUGGGCAAAGCAUCCGGAUACGAGAGAAACGCAGGGUGAAGGUGGGCCACAUCGCCACGGGGAUCAGCGACCAGAUCUCCGAGAGGGUGUUCACCAUGGAGACUCAGGAGCGGGAGCCAGUGGCCCAUGAUGAGGAGGUGCAGGACUCUGGCCUCCUGCUCCGCUGUGUCCCUGCUCCUGACUACUGCCAGGCCUGGAGAUGGAGGGUCAAGGAGGGGGUGCUGGAGACUCGUGACUGAGCCAUUAACUCCCCCCACUCAUCGGUAGCAGUCACAUCAAGCAUCAGGACUGUGAACUCACUCUUGCUCUCCUCCCCCUCACAUCUUGCGGAUGACCAGCACAGUAGUAAGAACUCCAGCGAGGAACACCCCCACGGUCUGCCAGGUGGGAGUGCCAAAGUAGGAACGGAUUCCCUCCUAAGAAUUAGGAAGACACACCAUUGUCUUCAACCACCACCACAAUUUCAAAAAGACAUCUGUAAAAAAAACAUGUCAAUAUGGGGAAAGCACAUCUACGGAUUCCUUACCCAGCCACCCUGAUCCCUAAUCCAGUUGAUCACAUGAUCUCGCAGGUAGUCUGUAGCCCAGCUGAUAAUGGUUCUGAUGAUGUCGGGGACCUUGGUCAACAGAGCCUGAGGAGAGAAAGACGAUGCAGUCUUAUUGCACAACGAAGAAGCCAACUCAUCACAAAACGUGUAAAUUUCAGUUCCAUUCCAAGCGCUGCGGUUUACAAAAGUGACUCUAUUCUGACUGAGAUGAGCCCUGUUUCCUUUGUCUAACAGAGGACAAGAGAGUGCGAGAAUGAUUGAGAGAGAAAGGAGAGCUAAAUAAAAUACUACCACUCUCCACCCUCACCUUGAUGACCAGCCGACAGGCAAAGUAGAAAAGUGCCACCACCCUGCCCCAGUUGAACUUUCCAUCAGAGAAGAUCUCACGGGCCACUCUCAUAAAAACAUCAUGGCUGGGCUGGAGUGCAGUAUCAUUUAACAUACUGAAGGGGAAAACAAGAGAUGCUCUAAGUAUUGUACAAAUUCCAGAGGUCAAUUUAAGCAAAGAGCUGGAGUCCCUUUCUAAGUCCUUGAUUUAAGAUACCUUUGGAGUUGUGUAUUGCCAUCCAGCUCAUCUCCAAUCUGCUGCAGGCAAAGGGCCAGUUUCUUGUGGUUGGGGUUACACAGCUCACUCCCGCCCAACUGGGUCCGUGUCACUGACAACUGAGUACUGCUGUCAGCAUGGCGAAGAACCCGCUCGUAGAUGAAACUGCGAAGAGAGGGUCCCGGCUAAACAACUAGCUAGUAUAUUUUGAUCCUUGUCUGAUUAAUCAGGCUGUAACAAACAAUUAACUGGUACAGUGGGGAGAACAAGUAUUUGAUAACCUGCAAAAAUCGGCAGUGUUUCCUACUUACAAAGCAUGUAGAGGUCAAAUUUUUUAUCAUAGGUACACUUCAACUGUGAGAGACGGAAUUAUAAAACAAAAAUCCAGAAAAUCACAUUAUGAUUUUUAAGUAAUUAAUUUGCAUUUAUUGCAUGACAUAAGUAUUUGAUACAUCAGAAAAGCAGAACUUAAUAUUUGGUGCAGAAACCUUUGUUUGCAAUUACAGAGAUCAUAUGUUCCCUGUAGUUCUUGACCAGGUUUGCACACACUGCAGCAGGGAUUUUGGCCCACUCCUCCAUACAGACCUUCUCCAGAUCCUUCAGGUUUCGGGGCUGUCGCUGGGAAAUACGGACUUUCAGCUUCCUCCAAAGAUUAUCUAUUGGGUUCAGGUCUGGAGACUGGCUAGGCCACUCCAGGACCUUGAGAUGCUUCUUACGGAGCCACUCCUUAGUUGCCCUGGCUGUGUGUUUUGGUUCGUUGUUAUGCAGGAAGACCCAGCCACGACCCAUCUUCAACGCUUUUACUAAGGAGGUUGUUGGCCAAGAUCUCACGAUACAUGGCCCCAUCCAUCCUCCCCUGAAUACGGUACAGUUGUCCUGUCCCCUUUGCAGAAAAGCAUCCCCAAAGAAUGUUUCCACCUCCAUGCUUCACGGUUGGGAUGGUGUUCUUGGGGUUGUACUCAUCCUUCUUCCUCCAACAGGGCGAGUGGAGUUUAGACCAAAAAGCUCUAUUUUUGUCUCAUCAGACCACAUGACCUUCUCCCAUUCCUCCUCUGGAUCAUCCAGAUGGUCAUUGGCAAACUUCAGACGGGCCUGGACAUGCGCUGGCUUGAGCAGGGGGACCUUGCGCGCGCUGCAGGAUUUUAAUCCAUGACGGCGUAGUGUGUUACUACUAGUAGUGUCCUUAUACAGCUCUCUGGUCUUGGCCAUUGUGGAGAGGUUGGAGUCUGUUUGAUUGAGUGUGUGGACAGGUGUCUUUUAUACAGGUAACGAGUUCAAACAGGUGCAGUUAAUACAGGUAAUGAGUGGAGAAUAGGAGGGCUUCUUAAAGAAAAACUAACAGGUCUGUGAGAGCCGGAAUUCUUACUGGUUGGUAGGCGAUCAAAUACUUAUGUCAUGCAAUAAAUGCAAAUGAAUUACUUAAAAAUCAUACGUGAUUUUUGUUUUAGAUUCCGUCUCUCGCAGUUGAAGUGUACCUAUGUCAGUAGAAUGAAAAUACACACCAGAACCAUAUACCUUGCAGAUCUCUAAAAAGUCUGGUAAACAAUAUUUCCCUGUGGAAAUGUCUCAAAUUUCGAGCGUCUGAAGGACAAACCGCACAGACAACCGGUAAUGCAAGUAUCAAUGGAAAUUGAUUCAACAUUCUGGCUUGUAAGGAACAUCUACACGAUUUGGCACUCCAAUGUUUCAGGCUAUAUCUACCAAUUAAAUUGUGUAUUUCAGCCUAAUUAAAUCAGGCAAUUGUGAAUAAAGAUCAAAUUCAGGAGUAAACAUGAAGGUAUACUCACUCUGUCAGUAAUGUUCUUCCCAGUUCUAGUACCUGAUCAGUUCCAUUACCUGAGAACACAAAGCAGCACUGGAGUCAGUACUACCAGGACAUAAACCAAGGGCAGGUAGAGGCAAUUUAAGACAAUGCCUAUGUGUGGGUAGUCUGGCAAAUACUGAAUUCUUGAAGUCCUCCUGACUGAGUCACGUGGGUAGCGUCAGCCAGGCUAAUGUAUGCGUGUCUGUCAAAUCGAAACUGGGCCGUCAUAAAAUAUGAUGUAAUGUUCUAAACAUGUUUGAAAUGUGACACACAAAGAUAUUCUUGAAUAAGUAGCUACUGAAGUAUGCAUGUCUCAUGACCAGUUCAGUGUGACAUUAAUUCAUGUAAAACAGUUAAAACACCAGCUGGCUCAUUUUCAGAAGUUGACUUGUCAGCUGACAUUAGUAACAGCUGGACUGGUCCAAGAUGUACUGCAGUUAGGCUAGUUGUCUGUGAUGUUUCUGGAAUGACAACAAUUAAGUACAAAGACUCAGACUGCCACAUCUGGCCCUCCCACCCCUACAGGAGGGCAGCUCCCACUCAGCCCAGUCCAAUCACUUCUGUGUCCUAGCACCCCAAUGGUGGAACCAGCUUCCCCCUGCCCAUCUUCUGAAAACCAGUGAAACCUUACCCCUUUAAAGAGUAUCUUAAAUAAUCACACAGCGCCCCCCCCCCCCCCCCCCCCCCCCCCCCCCCACUUUAGAGGGAAAAAUUUACUUUCCUAUAAUUGUGAUAUGUGGUUUACCCACCUUGCUCUCUUAAAAUAAGUACACUAACUGUAAAUCAUUCUGGAUGAGCUCGUCUGCUAAAUUACUAAAAUACUAAUUAAAACACAGCUAGCUAGCACUCACAUACUAAUCAGUCUGUAAUACACAAUUGGGUAUAUACAGCCUGAAACAAAUGCCUGCAAAAUCAUGUAAAUGUUCCUUUCCAGAAUGUUGAAUAAACUUUAAUUUAAACUUAC